UUUGUACUCCCCCCGUCCCAAAAUUCUUGUCUUAAAUUUGUCUAAAUACGGAUGUAUCUAGUUACAUUUUAGUGUUAGAUACAUCCGUAUCUAAACAAAUGUAAGACAAGAAAUUUGGGACGGAGGGAAUACUAC
rnacentral:pre_miRNA from 1 species